rnacentral:tRNA from 1 species
AGAAAUUUAAGUUAACAGACUAAAGGUCUCAAAGCCCAAA